UCUUGGUAACAUACUUAGGAAUAACAAAUCCUCUACAUGAUGACCAAAUGUCAAUUAGUUAAAUCCCCACUAUGGUAUUCAAUGGACAUUACGACUUAAAAGUGUAUCUAGACGCCUAGUGGGUUUUGGUCUUUUUGGAUGAAUGAUCAAAAAUUAAAUUUGAUGAAUUAAGUACAUUUUAGUUAGUAAGAUGAAUUGGAGUAUGCUUGGUGAGUCUAUAAAAG
rnacentral:lncRNA from 1 species